UAAUAUGAGAGUUUGAUCCUGGCUCAGGACGAACGCUGGCGGCAUGCCUAAUACAUGCAAGUCGAACGAACUUUCCUAUUAUUGAUGCUUGCAUCAUGAUUUAGAUCUAAGUGAGUGGCGGACGGUGAGUAACACGUGGGUAACCUGCCCAGAAGUGGGGGAUAACAUUUGGAAACAAGUGCUAAUACCGCAUAACAACAUUAAACACAUUUUUUGUUUAAAAGAUGGUUUUGCUAUCUCUUCUGGAUGGACCCCGGCGUAUUAGCUAGUUGGUGAGGUAAUAGCUCACCAAGGCGAUGAUACGUAGCCGACCUGAGAGGGUAAUCGGCCACAUUGGGACUGAGACACGGCCNNAACUCCUACGGGAGGCAGCAGUAGGGAAUCUUCCACAAUGGACGAAAGUCUGAUGGAGCAAUGCCGCGUGAGUGAAGAAGGUUUUCGGAUCGUAAAACUCUGUUGUUGAAGAAGAACAUAUGUGAGAGUAACUGUUCACGUACUGACGGUAUUCAACCAGAAAGCCACGGCUAACUACGUGCCAGCAGCCGCGGUAAUACGUAGGUGGCAAGCGUUGUCCGGAUUUAUUGGGCGUAAAGAGAAUGUAGGCGGUUCAUUAAGUUUGAAGUGAAAGCCCUCGGCUCAACCGAGGAAGUGCUUCGAAAACUGGUGAACUUGAGUGCAGAAGAGGAAAGUGGAACUCCAUGUGUAGCGGUGGAAUGCGUAGAUAUAUGGAAGAACACCAGUGGCGAAGGCGGCUUUCUGCUGUAACUGACGCUGAGAUUCGAAAGCAUGGGUAGCAAACAGGAUUAGAUACCCUGGUAGUCCAUGCCGUAAACGAUGAGUGCUAAGUGUUGGAGGGUUUCCGCCCUUCAGUGCUGCAGCUAACGCAUUAAGCACUCCGCCUGGGGAGUACGAUCGCAAGAUUGAAACUCAAAGGAAUUGACGGGGGCCNGCACAAGCGGUGGAGCAUGUGGUUUAAUUCGAAGAACGCGAAGAACCUUACCAGGUCUUGACAUACCAUGAAAAGCUAAGAGAUUAGUCUUUCCCUUCGGGGACAUGGAUACAGGUGGUGCAUGGUUGUCGUCAGCUCGUGUCGUGAGAUGUUGGGUUAAGUCCCGCAACGA
rnacentral:rRNA from 2 species